ACUCCUUUAUUGUAAAUAGGGAGGUCUCGCUUCAGGUGCUAACCCGCUCCCCGCGAAACGACGUGACCACAUUUUCACCAGUGUGUCGGGUAGUUCAAUUAUUUCAACAAUAUCGUCGCGUUUUGUAAUUCCAAACCCAACGAAGCGACGCACAAAGUAAGAAUUUCUUCAUUUGUACUUUCGCCAGAGGAGGAGGGAAGACACAUAGAAUGAGGAUGUUGAAGAAGAAAAAAAGAAGGUUCCACAUGAUGUUUGGCAACAUCAACCAAUCUUUCAUUCCAUUCAUUUGGGAAACCAGACAUGACAUCAAACAGUCUGCAGCAAUUAUUAAAUGCAUCAUUUGAAACAUGAUGUCAGAAGUGUGAAGCUGAAAUUGAGUGAAUUCUCAGAGCUGGAGGCCACUGUAAGGAAAACAACGAGGAAGAAAUAAAACUACAAUCAGCAACCUUGAAUUAUAGAGUGGAUCUGUAUGGUCAUAAACUUUCCACUCUCUGCUGCUAUGAAAAUAAAAGAAGUGACAUAUGAAAUAGAAUUGAACUUUCUUUCACUCUGUGCUAAAACUGUGAAAUAGCUUUGAAAUUUAAUA